AUGUCAAGAACGAAGCCACUCAGAUGAUGGAAGGGUGGAGCAGGGAUUGAAGAUUCAGGAUGAAUUAAAGAGGCAAUGUGUUGGGUUGUGAAGAAGCGUGAGACAUAAUCCCUGGCCUCAAGAACCUUUCAGCCUGGUGGAGAAAGCAGCUUGGUACUUGCUACGUUGAUUACCUAGACCUGAGCACAGCUGAGAGAAAUGUUCUGCCUUUCUUUCAAAAUCCCAUUUAUUCUGUUCUUUAUGAGGAUCUAAAUGUGAAAUUUCAUAUGUAAAAAAAAAAUCCUGAUGAUGUAAAGAAGGAAUCAUGUUGAUA